GACGAACGCUGGCGGCGUGCUUAACACAUGCAAGUCGAACGGAAAGGCCCUGCGUUUGUGGGGUGCUCGAUUGGCGAACGGGGGAGUAACACGUGAGUAACCUGCCCUUGACUGUGGGAUAACUUCAGGAAACUGGGGCUCAUACCGGAUAGGAUCUCUUGCUGCAUGGGGGUGGUUGGAAAGAUUCGGCGGUGGGGGAUGGUCUCGCUGCUUAUCGGCUUGUUGGUGAGGUAGGGGCUGACAAAGGCUUCGAAGGGUAGCCGGCCUGGGAGGGUGGCCGGCCACCUUGGGCCUGCGGUACGCCCCAGUAUCCUACGGGCGGCAGAAGUCGGGAGUAUUGCACAAUGGGCCGAAGCCUGAUGCGACAACGCCGCGUGCGGAAUGCCCGCUUACGGGUUGUGAACAGAUUUCGCCUGUGCCAAAGAGUGCGUGACGGUAAUGGGUCAAGAAGCCCCGGCUAACUACGUG
rnacentral:rRNA from 1 species